rnacentral:tRNA from 1 species
GGCUUUAAAUUCAUUUUGAUAUUAGAUUGCAAAUCUGAAGAGGUAAAUUAUAUUUACUAAGGCUU